rnacentral:rRNA from 1 species
UACGUAGGGGGCUAGCGUUGUCCGGAAUCAUUGGGCGUAAAGAGCGUGUAGGCGGUCCGGUAAGUCCGCUGUGAAAGUCGGGGGCUCAACCCUCGAAUGCCGGUGGAUACUGUCGGGCUAGAGUCCGGAAGAGGCGAGUGGAAUUCCUGGUGUAGCGGUGAAAUGCGCAGAUAUCAGGAGGAACACCAAUGGCGAAGGCAGCUCGCUGGGACGGUACUGACGCUGGAGGCGCGAAAGCGUGGGGAGCAAACAGG